rnacentral:ncRNA from 1 species
AAACGAAUCUCUGGAAAGCCGGCGCCCUGCGCCGCACCGACGGCGUAAGGACCGGGUCAACCCCGAUCCGAAUCUCUCAGGUUCCGCGACAGAGGGGGGUCA